rnacentral:sRNA from 1 species
AACCGAUGGUCCGAGAGCGUCUCCGCUCCC